CUGAUUAUUAGCUCUCUCUUUAUGUAAAUCUUCUGUUGCAUAUUUAAACACCAGACAUGAGUCAGUUUAUACAUUCAUCUGAUCACUAGAGGGAGAGAAGAACAAACUGUGCUGUGAAACACACCAUGAUCUCUUCAUCUUUAGUGUUGCUUCUGGCAGUAGUAUCCUGUAUUCAUUCAGAGGAACUCACUCAGCCUGAGUCUCUGACUGUCCGUCCUGAUGCCACUCUAACUAUCAACUGUAAAGUCUCCUAUUCAGUUACUAGUUAUGGUACAGCCUGGAUUCGUCAGCCUGCAGGAAAAGCUCUGGAAUGGAUUGGAGUGAUCUUGAGUGAUGGAAGCUUAUACUACAAGGAUUCACUGAAAAGCAAGUUCAGCAUCAGCAGAGACACCUCCAGUAACACAAUAACACUGCAGGGAAAUAAUAUGCAAGCUCAAGACACAGCUGUGUAUUAUUGUGCCGGA